GACGAACGCUGGCGGCGUGCUUAACACAUGCAAGUCGAACGGAAAGGCCCUGCUUUUGUGGGGUGCUCGAGUGGCGAACGGGUGAGUAACACGUGAGUAACCUGCCCUUGACUUUGGGAUAACUUCAGGAAACUGGGGCUAAUACCGGAUAGGAGCUCCUGCUGCAUGGUGGGGGUUGGAAAGUUUCGGCGGUUGGGGAUGGACUCGCGGCUUAUCAGCUUGUUGGUGGGGUAGUGGCUUACCAAGGCUUUGACGGGUAGCCGGCCUGAGAGGGUGACCGGCCACAUUGGGACUGAGAUACGGCCCAGACUCCUACGGGAGGCAGCAGUGGGGAAUAUUGCACAAUGGGCGGAAGCUGAUGCAGCAACGCCGCGUGCGGGAUGACGGCCUUCGGGUUGUAAACCGCUUUCGCCUGUGACGAAGCGUGAGUGACGGUAAUGGGUAAAGAAGCACCGGCUAACUACGUG
rnacentral:rRNA from 1 species